rnacentral:hammerhead_ribozyme from 1 species
AUCUAGCUGACGAUUCCCAAAUAGGACGAAACGCGCGUCCUGGAC